UGGUUAGUACUUGGAUGGGGGACCACAUGGAAAUACUA
rnacentral:rRNA from 1 species